ACAGAUUUAUUUUAGUUUUUAUAUAUAUGUGUGUUUCCGCAUUUUUAUUUUGACUGCAAUCUAUAUCGAUUUGAUCUGCUUUUAUAAUUAUUGGAUUUACUUUGUUGACUUCCGUAUCAACUUCGGGUUUGCCUAAACUGGUUCACUUUCUGUAUAUUUAUCGUUCUAUCAUGCUUAAUUUUAGAAGUUGUGAAAACCGUUCUCACUAUACUACAGCUUAAGAAAUUCAUUAAUUGUUGUUGGGUAGAAUUCAUUCCACUACGAUGUAAAUAAAUCCUUAUGAAUUACAUGUACUCAUUUAUAUAAAAGAUACCAAGGACAGUUUUUACGGAUUUUGAAUAUACAUGUAGAUAUAAAGGCAAAGACAAUGGAGAUAAUGCAAAAGUAAAAGAGCUUUAAACUGAAAUGAAUUUUUAGCU
rnacentral:misc_RNA from 1 species